GGAUGUGAGGGUGAUCUGGCUGUGACAUCUGUCACCCCAUUAAUCGCCAGGGUUGAUUUGGCUGAUCUGGCUGGCUAGGCGGGUGUCCCCUUCCUCCCUCACCGCUCCAUGUGUGUCCCUCCCGAAGCUGCGCACUCAGUGGAAGAGGGCGACGUCCCAGGUAUAGAAGGAGUGUACCGAGGUCUCUAGUCUUCGGUCCCGGGUAUACAAUCACUGCGCUCCCCUGCUAGAACCUCCAAACAAACUCAAGGACAUAGGCAUUGCUAAUAAGUCAGUAUUUAGAUAUAUUUAAAAACGUCCACUUCCCAUGUAAAAACUGCUGUGGAGGAUCAGAGGGCUCUUU
rnacentral:snRNA from 1 species